UCCCAAUUUGUUUAGUUUUGAUCCCAAAGAAAAUUAUUUUUCUUUUAAUUUUAAUGUUUAUCAAAAAGAUUUGGUUUGAUUUUCCUUUUCCUCUGAUUUCACCCUCCCCUAAUUUCUCUCGGUGUCGUUCUUGCACAUUAAAAUUAUGUAGAUCUCCUGAUCAUGAUCUACCUUCGUAUUCUAAUUUUAAUGUUUAUCAAUCCUCAUAUUGUUUUGGUCAUUGUUGGUUGGAUUUUAUUUUGAUUUCUACACUUACAAUGGUUUUUGUCAUUGAAGUUUGUUAACAGAACUAACCAGAACUGCUGCACAUUUACAUUCUAUGCAAUGCACAACUUAGAAAUGAACAACUACGACCCUUUAUGGUGUGUAGGAGUUUCACUACCUCUCUUUUAAUAUGCCGUUAUAUGGUUUAUCUCAACUUAUUUUCAAUUUUGCGUUCCUUAUUUAAUUUGUAAUGUGUUAUUUAGGGUAGAUCCAUUGUGCAUCUCCAUUUUCAUAACCAAAAUCCUUCUUAGGCUUUGAUCCAUUGUGCAUCUCCAUUAUCCCAGGUUUGAAUCACUUUUAUUUUGAUUGAUUAUUUUUUUGAAGCAUAUUAUGAUUGAUUGAUAAAAUUAUUGUUACUUUUUUUCAAUUUGUUUAAUUUUGAUCCCAAAGAAAAUUAUUUUUCUUCUAAAUUUAAUGUUUCUCAAAAAGAUUUGGUUUGAUCUUCUUUAUCCUCUAAUUUCACACUCCCCUAAUUUCUCUCGGUGUCGUUCUUGCACAUUAAAAUUAUGUAGAUCUCCUGAUCAUGAUCUACCUUCGUAUUCUAAUUUUAAUGUUUAUCAAUCCUCAUAUUGGUUUGGCCAUUGUUGGUUGGAUUUUAUUUUGAUUUCUACACUUACAAUGGUUUUUGUCAUUGAAGUUUGUUAACAGAACUAACCAGAACUGCUGCACAUUUACAUUCUAUGCAAUGCACAACUUAGAAAUGAACAACUACGACCCUUUAUGAUGUGUAGGAGUUUCACUACCUCUCUUUUAAUAUGCCGUUAUAUGGUUUAUCUCAACUUAUUUUCAAUUUUGCGUUCCUUAUUUAAUUUGUAAUGUGUUAUUUAGGGUAGAUCCAUUGUGCAUCUCCAUUUUCAUAACCAAAAUCCUUCUUAGGCUUUGAUCCAUUGUGCAUCUCCAUUAUCCCAGGUUUGAAUCACUUUUAUUUUGAUUGAUUAUUUUUUUGAAGCAUGUUAUGAUUGAUUGAUAAAAUUAUUGUUACUUUUUUUCAAUUUGUUUAAUUUUGAUCCCAAAGAAAAUUAUUUUUCUUCUAAAUUUAAUGUUUCUCAAAAAGAUUUGGUUUGAUCUUCUUUUUCCUCUAAUUUCACACUCCCCUAAUUUCUCUCGGUGUCGUUCUUGCACAUUAAAAUUAUGUAGAUCUCCUGAUCAUGAUCUACCUUCGUAUUCUAAUUUUAAUGUUUAUCAAUCCUCAUAUUGGUUUGGCCAUUGUUGGUUGGAUUUUAUUUUGAUUUCUACACUUACAAUGGUUUUUGUCAUUGAAGUUUGUUAACAGAACUAACCAGAACCGCUGAACAUUUACAUUCUAUGCAAUGUACAACUUAGAAAUGAACAACUACGACCCUUUAUGCCGUGUAGGAGUUUCACUACCUCUCUUUUAAUAUACCUUUAUAUGGUUUAUCUCAACUUAUUUUCAAUUUUGCGCUCCUUAUUUAAUUUGUAAUGUGAUAUUUAGGGUAGAUCCAUUGUGCAUCUCCAUUUUCAUAACCAAAUCCUUCUUAGGCUUUGAUCCAUUGCGCAUCUCCAUUAUCCCAGUUUGUUAACAGAACUAACCAGAACUGCUGCACAUUUACAUUCUAUGCAAUGUACAACUUAGAAAUGAACGUAAGGGUAAAACAAUGGCUUGAGCUACAACCCUUUAUGUUUUGUAUGAGUUUCACUACCUCUCUUUUAACAUAACUUUAUAUGGUUUUUCUCAACCUAUUUUCAAUUUUGCGUUCCUUAUUUAAUUUUUAUUUGUGUUGUUUAGGGUAGAAUUCCGGUGUUUAAUUCAUUUUUUAUUAUGAAUAUGUUUUGCAAGGUACUGGCUAGCUUUUCCUUCAGAUGAAAUCUAUAUGAAGGAAAUUAAAUCUACAUAACGUCAAACUUCAGGGACGGACCCAGGAAAGAAGGUCCGGGCUAGAAGCCUUGGUCGAGCAAAAAAUAAAAAUUGGCUUGUGGACUGGGAAGCCUACCCGGACUAAAGCCCCCUUUAGCCCAGCUGUAGGUCCGUCAUUGCUACAAACAAAUUAUUGUAUUUGACUCUUACAUAUUUGAUGGUUCACACUGAUAUUCAGAAUCCAGAGUUAUGUGUAGUGCGAAAAGGAAGUCUGAAAUUUGGGGUUAUCAAAAUGGUAUCUAUGUUCAUCUACUCUAAAUUUAAGGAAGUUUGAAAUCGAGGAUUAGUGUUGUGUCCUGUCUAAAUUUGUAUGUCCAUACUGUUUUUGGUAUCAUAUAAUUGUCACUUUUGGAUUCAUUUUCGCUGAAAUGGUAUCCGUUUUCAUUUUUUUGAUUGGUUUUCAAAAUGGUAUGCGUGUUCAUCUACUUUAAAUUUAAAGUACAACCUAUGCUCUGCUGAUUUUCUAGAAAGUAGAUUGAGUUUAGUACUGAAUGUGUU